GACGAACGCUGGCUGCGCGCCUAACACAUGCAAGUCGAGCGAAGCUGCGAACGGGUGAGUAACACGUGAGGAACCUGCCUCUCACAACGGGAUAGCCUCGGGAAACCGGGAUUAAUACCGUAUGGUGAGAGAUGGCCUCGCGUCUGAUUAGUUAAUUUGUGGGGUAACGGCCUACCAAGACGACGAUCAGUAACCGGCCUGAGAGUGUGAACGGUCACAUUGGAACUGAGAGACGGUCCCAGCUCCUACGGGAGGCAGAAGUGGGGAAUCGUGAACACUGGGGGGAACCGUGAUGCAGCGACGCCGAGUGAGCGGUGAAGGUUUUCGAAUCGUAAAGCCCUGUCCUAUGGGAAGCGGUACCAUAGGAGGAAGCCCCGGCUGACUACGUGCCAGCGGCCGCGGUAAUAC
rnacentral:rRNA from 1 species